rnacentral:rRNA from 1 species
AAACUUUCAACAACGGAUCUCUUGGUUCCGGCAUCGAUGAAGAACGCAGCGAAAUGCGAUACGUAAUGUGAAUUGCAGGAAUUCAGUGAAUCAUCGAGUCUUUGAACGCACAUUGCGCCCCCCUGGUAUUCCGGGGGGCAUGGCCUGUCCCGAGCGUCAUU